rnacentral:sRNA from 12 species
CACCGCGCUGGGGGACAUGGUUUAACCACGGCGGCGCGGGAAGACCCCUACCGUGGGAAAGACAAGGAAGCAGGGGUAAGGGUGGCGAAGCUAGCGCCCGAUUGUCGAACGGCUGGCGGGU